rnacentral:ncRNA from 1 species
UAAUGUAAUUGAAAAUGAUUAUCAAUUCCAAAUAUAAGACAUUCCCCCCACACGAAUUUCGAUCUUAUUGGAUUGAUCAUUUUCAGAAAUAUCCCCUUUUAUAUGCCCGUAAAAGACUAACGUUGCGAGACAACGUGAAUAUAAAAACCGGUUUUACUUUGUAAAAUCGGUUUUUAU